AAGUGGGCCACAUCCCUGCAAGACUGCUGACGCUCGCUUUAAGUGUGAUCUGGCAGAAAGAGAGAAUGUUCCUCGGAGGCCUUUGUGUCCUGCUGCUCCUGGUUUUGUCCAGUUUGGAUGUGCACUGCGAAAGUCACGGUUCUGGCCAUCAGGACGAGCUGAGGAUGGUGUUGGUCGGGAAAACCGGUUCUGGCAAGAGCGCCAGUGGCAACACCAUUCUGGGACAUGAAGUCUUCAAACGAGAUAUCUCCCCGGAAUCAGUGACCCAAGACUGCGCCAGAGGAGAGGCUCACCUGGAUGGCGUUGACCUCGUCGUCCUGGACACACCAGGAUUGUUUGACACCAACAAAACCGACGACCACGUGAAAUCCACAAUUGAGAAAUGCAUAGACCUGUCCGUCCCUGGUCCUCACGCGUUCCUACUGGUCAUCAGCCUCAAGUCUAGACACACUCAGGAGGAGAGGGAGGCGGUUGAGUGGAUUCAGGACAACUUUGGCGAUGAUGCUGACAUGUAUACCAUCGUCCUCUUCACGCACGGCGAUUUGCUUGAUGGUAAGACUGUGGAGGAUUUUGUGAGGGAGAGCAAGGAGCUACGAAGACUGAUCAACCGCUGUGGAGAUCGAUAUCACGCGCUCAUCAACAACAAGAGGAGCAACAAGGGGCAGGUGAAGGCACUCCUGAGGAAGAUAGAGGGCAUGGUGGAGAAAAACGGUGGACAACACUAUACCAAUGACAUGUACAAAAAAGCACAGGAAAGACUGGAAGAGAGAAAGAAAGAGGAAGAGCAAAGAAAGAGGGAGGAGGAAGAAAGAAUAAGGAAGCAAGGAGAGAAAAUUGCUUACUGCAAACUUGCAGCUACCCUGGCAGCAGCGGGUUUGGUUGGCGGUGCGUACAUGGGCUCAUGUGUUCUGACGGCAGCAGCUUCUAUUCUGGGGCUGACUCAAGGUUACGAUUGCACAGAUGUGUUUUUUUAGCUCAUCCUGAGAGUCUGCUCUGUGGUUUUGUGGGGAACUAUCGUGAUCUGAGUUUUCUCUGGGAAUUUAUUUGCACUGGAGUUGUUUUAGUGUAAGACGCCCUCCUUGCUUCCUGUGAAGAAGCCUUGGAGGGGGAGUCACUGCAGGACUGCGGUGGAGGCGAUGGUGUAGUGAAGCAGGUACAAAGUGGCUCUCAGCUUUGACAACCCCCUCCUACACCCUGUGUGAUGGAGGACACCGUCUGUCAUGGACUCAGGGAAUAAGAUUUGACAACAAUGUAGCAGUUUAAAGUUUACUGCCCGCCCCUGUCAGAUCUACUGUAUCAGCACAAGAAGCUUUGUUUGUUUGUCGGACUUUUUUGAUCUAACUGUAAAACGCUAUUGAACAUUCCACUUCAAUAAAGUCUA